CAUGGAGGGUGAGAAUCCCGUUCGGUUAACCAAAGCGCUUUACGAUACGCUUUCAAAGAGUCAAGUUGUUUGGGAUUGCAGCUUAAAAUGGGAGGUAAAUUUCUCCUAAGGCUAAAUAUUGGCGAGAGACCGAUAGCGAACAAGUACCGUGAGGGAAAGAUGAAAAGAACUUUGAAAAGAGAGUUAAACAGUACGUGAAAUUGUUGAAAGGGAAACGAUUAAAGUCAGUCGUACCUACGAGUGAUCAACCUACUCGAGUGCGAUUUUGUGGGUAUGUUAGAGCUUAAAAACCUUCAUGCUUACAAAUUGGUGCUCUUUGGGCGUACUUUCUCGUAUGGUAGGUUAACAUCAAUUUCGAUCGUUAUAAAAUGACUGGAGGAAUGUAGCUUCGACCUCGGUUGAAGUGUUAUAGCCUUUGGUAGAUGUAAUGAUUGGGAUUGAGGAUUGCAACGGAUACCCUCUGGGCUAUUCGUCUGAUCUCUGGAAGUUACCUUGGUGUCGAAAGCGUGCUUACGAUAUUAAGGUUGACGGCCAAUAGGUUAGAACGUGAUUAAAUUCGUUAAGGAUGUUGACGUAAUGG
rnacentral:rRNA from 1 species